rnacentral:rRNA from 1 species
AUACGUAGGUGGCGAGCGUUGUCCGGAUUUACUGGGUGUAAAGGGCGAGUAGGCGGGCUUGCAAGUCAGAUGUGAAAUACCGAGGCUCAACUUCGGGGCUGCAUUUGAAACUGCGAGUCUUGAGUGAUGGAGAGGCAGGCGGAAUUCCCAGUGUAGCGGUAAAAUGCAUAGAGAUCGGGAGGAACACCAGUGGCGAAGGCGGCCUGCUGGACAUUAACUGACGCUGAGGCGCGAAAGUGUGGGGAGCAAACAGGAUUAGAUACCCUGGUAGUCCACACCGUAAACGAUGGAUACUAGGUGUGGGGGGUUUGACCCCCUCCGUGCCGGAGUUAACACAAUAAGUAUCCCACCUGGGGAGUACGAUCGCAAGAUUGAAACUCAAAGGAAUUGGCGGGG